CCUUGUCCUCUGGAAUCUUCUCUACCCAGGCUUGUGCAUCGAGGAAGUACUGCAUCCUGGGUGCAAGUGGGAAGGUAAAGGAGAUCGUCUGAGACAUUUCUGCGUGGCUGUGUUAAGACAACACACACUCCUCUGGCAAGCAGCAAUGAAAAACAAGAACUCUUCAGAAUUUAUACAUCAGAGUCUGGCAUCCUUAUUCCUGAAGGCUAAAGCAGAUUUCUACAGACCUAUAUGCGCUGUGGGGUUGUUAGAGAAGGUGAAUUCUUCCCUUCUCCUCUGGACUGCCCAUGAAGUUGGUUCGGGCACAGUGAAGCAGGUUAGACCACAUAAACCUAUUAUAUCCAAUACAAGUGGGAAGGAGUAAUUAGAAAGAGGAAAGGUACUGGGUUAGCCUUGGGGCUGUUUUGUUUUAUGAUCUGGGCAUGUACAACAGACCAUGUGAAUCACAGAAGAAAAAACUAGGAGGGAAUGGAGACUCGACGUUCCGGAAUGAGCAGCGCAAAGGGGCACGUCUCUUUCCAACUAUGGAGAAGUUAUUGACAAAC